rnacentral:lncRNA from 1 species
GCAAUAUUUUUCACUGAGCUCUCAUCUAAUACAGGGUUCUUCCUUGCAAACUACAUCAGGGCUCACUAUCCAACGAUCUAUUUAAAACAUAGAAAUCUUGAUGGCAACUCAUUGACCUUUACAAACUCUCACAAGAUAUUAACCCCCAUAAGGAGUACCACCUAGGAAAAAUUAUAGACAAUAGAAGAAACACCAAAACAGUAUUGCAUAACCAGAAAAGGUAAUGAGUGAAUGACAACUUCUGGAUACAUGUAAUAUAAUUCCCAAAUAUCAAAUGGGAUUGCCUGGUAUUGUAUAAAGCAUCACCCUUAUAUUAUGACAGAAAUCACACCUAUCAAAUUUGACAUUAUUUUUUUGGUCAAGUAAACAUACUGAAAGAGACACUUGCCAUUUUUGAAUUAAAAGGAUAUUACCAAAAAAAAAAAGACUUAGAAAAGUUGAACACAGAAUAUUGACAAAUAGUGAUAACUGAACAAGGGAAAAGCAGGAAAGUGGAGUAAGUAUUUACCUGAUGAAAAGGCUGACCUUAUUAGAUCCGCACACCAACAAUAUGAAAGUACAUGGAGAUCUACAUUCAGAUUUUCCUUUUCCUUCACAACCUUCUGAAAAAAAUCUAUACAACCAUCUUGAAGGAUCAAACGUUCCCCAGCUCUUUUUAUGUCAUCUAGAUUCAUUCCCUUUAGCACCCCAGACUCAAUAACCCUGGAAUUUGCUCGUUUCUCAAACUCAGAGAGCUGGCCCAAACUUUUGUAAAGGCCUUCAUAAUCAAAUGUUUUAGCUGGAAACCAACAAGCAAUGUGCCAAUAAGAAGGGGCAAAAAUCAACACAUUUUUAACAAAUUAGCUCCACUAAAAACCUAUUGUGAUCUAAUCACUCAUAUUUCAAAAAAUAUGCCAUCUGAAGUAACAAUAUAGAAAAGAAUUACCUUCUUCUUCUGGAAGUAAGCUUUCUAUGCACUGCUCAUACUCUUCUGUAUACUGUUUAGAAAGAGCAUCCCAUGAGUUUCUCAUUUCUGAAGAAGAUCUUCGAGCAUCCAAAUUUUCAGUCCCAGUCUGAUCAGUCUUUGAAGCACUUAAUAUUGCAAUCUCUGCUAAAAUGGCAGAGGAAUCAACUACAGUGCAUGUCAAGUCAAAAUCAGAAAAAAUGACAAGGCAAUUUGCUGGAUCAUGCAGUCUUGUCAAUGGAACUACAGCUGGUUGGACAAUUGGCUGAGCAAGAAAAAAUUCAAUUUCAAGUUUCAUAGCUUGGCGGUAAAGCUUUUCUAUGACUUCAAGCUCCUCCCCAGUCAAUGAAACACUCAAUUUGUCAAGCAAUUCUUCUAUUUGCACAGCAUCUGCCUGUUCUCCACAAGAAGGAAAAAGAAAUCAAACAAUAAAGAUCAAUAUAACUUAUACAUGCCACAUAAACUUUUAGUGGUUUCAUCUUAAUUGAAAAGAAACAAUAAAGGACAGCUCAUGAUAUAUAACCAUACCUCAAAACUUUCAGAGGAAUAAUUAUCAAUCCACUUUUUGUAGGGAUGACCAUUUUCGUCAUGUUGCAGAUACAUCUGGAGCUCUUUUCCCAGGAAUGCAUAAAGCCUCAUGCAAGGAGUCAUGGCACCUACAGUAUAAGCAGCAAUUUUUGUCUUCUCAAAAGGAGUGACAAUUUUCCCAGGACCUUUCCCUCCUUCAACUUUUCCUGCAGCUGUUGCAAGCAGAAAGUCGGUGUACUUCACUGUUGCAGGGAUAGGAAUGAUUUCUUUAGUGGGGUCUAUGCCCCAUUCCUGCAUAACUGAUUCCUUCAGAAAACUUUGCACAAAGAAACAGAAAAGUAUAUGUCUAAUGGCAGUAGAAUAACAAGGAACAAAAUAUGCUAAAAUAAUCAGAUUAACACAGCCCUUUGCAGUCAAUUGGGGUCAAAUUAGGCAAAGGAAAAUUAAAGUGGCAAGCUAAAAGUAUAUCUUAGUGUUAGUUUUUCAUGCAUACAUGCAUGGAUAGAUGGUAUAAAAGAAAAUAAGAGCACUGCAAGGACAUACCACCAGUACAUGCGCCAACUCAGCAGUCUGAAGUUUAUCUGCCUAUUCCCUCGAAUGCAUCCAACAAAUUUUAGAAAAAAUAAAAAUCCACAAGAGUAAUUUCCAAAUGGUUUAUAAGAACCCAUGCUAGACAACCACUUCAACUAUGUUAUACUUCCAAAAGUUAAAAAGGAACAAAAAAAUGAUGGGCCCAAUUAACACUUCUUUUUCAUGUCAGACUGAAUCACUUUUGUUUUGAAUACAUAAGAUUGCCGCAGAUAGGUUCCACAUUUUGAAUCUUUGAUCAGCAAUAGUAAAUAGAAUCUGUACAGAAUGUAUAGACCAUCUAAAUACGGAUAGAAGUGGAUAUGCAAGCUUCAGCAGAUUAGACAUUACAUAUUCUGCGAUUGCACAUGUUACCUGAUAACCGGACCUUAUUAACUGACUUCAAACCCAAAAUGGUUAGUUAGGUGAGAUCAAUACUGUGUUGUCAGGUUUGACUUGCAUCAAAGCCUACAUUUCUUGUUGGGUCUAUUCUGGCCUUAGCCAAAUACAGAACCCAAAACCUAAAUGAAAAUGGACAUAUCAAUCAUCAAUGGUGCAGCCAUAUAAGGGUGCAUUUAGUUAUUUUAUUUGUCUAGUUUAAUAUUCAGUGUCUAAGAUCAUCUGUUAGAUUACUAGAUAGUACAAGAUCGAGAAAUAAAACCCUAACCCGACAUGACAUGUAUACCCCACCCCAAUAUGGAGGGAAAAAAUAAAAAAGAAAAAAAAUCCACAUACUUUCACAGACAUUAAAUCCUCUGCAUUCAUUUACAAACUUGAGAAACUCCACUUCGUAAGUUGUAACAUUCUUUCAUACCAGCAUAUAGUUGAUAACAUACUUCAAAGCCUAGUAACCAACUCAUGCCCGCCUCACAAUAUUUCACCAUUGUAAAAUACACAAAAUUAGUUUGAGAUCAUUCUUCAAUAUCAUGCCUCAUCAUAUCACAACCUCAUCAACAGGCCAGAAUGCAUCAUCGACCAACAUGUUAUUUUCCUCAAAAGCAUAUCACUGAAAGGUAAGAGCCCAAUGAAUAUAAAUUGCUUCUCCUACAUGCCAACCCCAAACAACAAAUGCUACUUCCAUCAGUUCGUUGGCCCCCAUCACCAAAGUCCACAUCUUGGCUGUUGGUUUCAGUCGAAUUACCAAAUUAUUUCAGUACAUAUCUUCUUUCUUUUCUUCUUCAUUUGCCCCCAACAAGGGGAGUGGUAACAUCAAAUUCAUUAACAGUGAAGAGAAGCAAAAUAAAUAGAACAGAGCCAAUAUAAACAGCUCCAGCUCCAGAGGGCAAGCAAAAUCACAUAAAAAAGGACCUAUUGCAUGACCUAGAGUUGCUAGCAGCCUAUUUAUUUCUUCAGGCUCUUGGCCAACACCAGGAAAUUACUACUCACAAUAAUAGUUUUUAAGAUCAGCAUUCAGCAACAAUAUAUUUGAAAAGUGGUAAGCACAGAGAAAGAGUCUCUAAGAAAUACAAACAAUAAAUCAAUCAUGUUAUAUAAUCGAUAAAAUUCCAGAAAAAAGAGCCUCUAAGAAAUGCUAUCACUAAAUCAUUCUAUUGCUAUAAUCAAACAAAUGCCAUUAACUAAUUCACCACAAUCAGCACUUCAUACAAUACAAAUGCUUAGCGGUAAUCUGAAGAAACCCAAAUAUCCAUUUAAGACUUCAUCUCAAACAGAAAAGCAAGGAAUGUAGAGCAUACUCUCACUUUGACUUAUUAACUCCAUGUAAAACUACUGAUCUGAAAACAACAUUUAAGAUCGAAAACAAAAAUAUGACUGGUGAAUAACAACUUUUGAAAAGUUUCAUAAAUCUUUGGGCAAUUUCAUAUAUCCAUUGGCAAAAGGAUCACUAAGACCAUAAACAUCUACAAUCAACAUCAUCGAUCCUCUAGCAAAAUCACAAAGGCCAUCUUAUUGAAUUACUUUGCAUCAAAUUCUCAUUAAUAAUUAAGAUGAUGCUUCUUUUACUUCCUUGGAUCUCUCAAUCUAGUAAUUAUCUUGCUUUGGUCCAUCCAAUACCAUCACAUAUUUCAUUUAAGGAAACAAGAACAAACAAGAAAAGAAAGAAAGAUUCACUAUCCCAAAAACUCAAAAGCUAAAAUUGUAUUUCAGCAAGAUGGCAACUACAAUGCAGAUUUGUAUAAGGGUCUAUUCUUGCAUCCUAAUUCCUACAUUAAGAUAAAAACUAUUAAUUAACUCUUGAAGCACAUGUUAGAAAACUCUGUAGCAGCCAACCUCUAUAUCUUUUCCAUUUAACCUCCAUAUCCUUUCCAUUUAAUGGCUCCUAGUUCAGGCAGGGACUACACAUCAAACCAGCAAAAACUACUGUAAUUCUCAUUUAUAUGAUAAGAAAAGUAGAAGCAUGAUACAAGAUGUCAAGAUAAAAAAAUGAUCUUAGAUACUCAGAAGAAGAGAAGCAUUCCUAUUCUUUGGAUACUCAAUUAGGCAUAGACAACAUAAGUUCCUGCAGAGACAAUGAUAAGCAAUAGAUCAGUUCAGAAUUAUAUAUUUACUUUUCAAUUAUUCGAGAAUUGGUUGUUCUGAUGAUAAGAUUCGCAGUCAGAGCAUUUCGAGGGGAGAAAUUAAAAAAGACAAGACUGAUCAGUUGCCAUGCAAGGAAAAGUUCAUGUGAGAAGAUAUAUCCAAAAGCAAGAAUGUUCCAAAUCUUACCUGGACAAAUGAAUUGUGCAUUUUCAGUUCCUCCAAAACAGCUUUCCUCAGAUCAGUUAUUGCAGCCUUCGCAUCAUCAUCAUCAGCACACUCUUCCGCCAUCUCAUACCUAACAAAUCCAGGAAACCCCAGAAAUAAACUUUUUGUCACCACUCAAGAAAAAGGACAAUUAUAACUUUAAAAAAAAUUCAUAAUGAACACAGCAAAAUGAACAGAAUCCAGCCAUCUAUGACCGGACACUCGAAAUACUCAAUAAACUGGAUAAAUCCUACUAUAAUUUCUAACGCGCUCCAAGAUCGAAGAAAAGGCACAGACAGAAAACGCCAGAGGUCCAGAUUGUAAACCCUAGCCCCAAUACUAGCAAGAACUAGCCAAAAGAUUCAAAGAACGGCGUAACUCACGCUUGGGCAAAAGUUCUAAGGAAGUGCACGUCCUGAGCAAUGUAGUUCCGGAAGGCCUCCAUCUCCAGUCUCCCUGCCGCCAGGCACACCACGAACGGGGUGUACUCCGCGAACACUGCCUCCUUGCGGGACCUGAUCCAGAACCGCUUCGCCGCCGAGCCCUCUUCAACCGCCGCCGCCACCCCUGCCAUGGCUCGUCCGGCUGAAGAAGGCCAAGAACGCGUGGCGACCGCCCUCUCCGGCACCAAUCUUGGAGGCGACGCCCGCUGAUUCGCCGCGGCGAUAGAUCGGAACCCCUUCGGAAGGCAACGCGGGGGGCGAUCUCGAUUCAAGAAACCGAAUCGGGGGCAGGUGGAGGCAAGGGAUCUGGGUGCGGAGAGCGAGAAGAAGCAAUAGCUAGGGUUUGGGUUUCGGCGGAGAGGGAGAAGAUGGGAGAGGAAUCUCAUCAACGGCGAGAAGAUGGGGGUGGGGGGAGCGGGGUCCGGUCCCCGGCCUCGGUUUGCGGAAGAGGCGUGCGGAGACGACGGGUAUUUAUAGGCGCACGGGGAACNNNNNNNNNNNNNNNNNNNNAGGAAGGUGGGGGGAGAGAAAAGCGAGCCGGCGGCCGGCGCGCUUUUCCACGGUCUUCUCGUGAGGGGGCUAAGCGGGUCGGAAUCGGACCGGGUCGGCGGUUGGACGUUGGGGCACUUGCGGGUGGCUGUCUCAAUUCUACGAUAUAAUAUCUCGCGGGGUCGAAAAAUCGAUCUCCACUUUGGAUCUUGCUAUUCGAUCUUCUCCGUCCAUUUGUCUGAUGAUCUUGAGGGACAGUUUGACUUAAGCACCUCCGCGAUGCUCCAUACUGUUGUGAGGUGGGGCAGGGAGAUGCGUAGCGGACUGUCUUACCAAACUUUAGUGCUCCACCUCUCGCCUUGCGACACGCGUCCGAAAAGAAUGGGCCCUUUGGUCUUUCUAAUAAUAAAUUACGGAUAGGACGGCUCGUGCGUAUAGAAUCACGGAUGGCGUAAACGGGAGCCAAAGGCGAAAACUAAUUCUAGUCCUCCGCUUGAUAUAAAUCCUCUCGCUUUUGUCAGUUUGUGAGUCUCCCCUCUGAUGGAAUGGUAGACGAGACAAGUAGUACCCAUAUGGGAAGGACAAUAUGGUAGCGUCAAGAGGAAAUGAAAAUCCGGUGGGUGAGGAUAUCAAUUUUGCGAGGAUAAAGCAUGCGGAGAUUAUCCAGCAGUGGAUAGUGUUCGCAACUUUCCGUUUAAUGUGGGACGUUGGGCCUGAUGUAGAGAGCCAGGGAAGGACAUACUAGAGUAAUGGAGCCCACGGGAGGUUGUUUCAGUGGUCCAUAGAUCGCAUCUGGCCAAUCGCAUUCAUGGGCCUUGGCAUUACCCGAACGGGGAAAGUUUCUGAUGGUUGGAUUUGCGUUUGGAUGGUUGUUAGACGUCUGAGCUGACGUUCUUUUUGAGAAGCACGGUAACCUUUUCCUCUAUUUUUUUUUUUUUAAAUGUGGGCCCACGGGCGACCGCCUUUGGUUGAAAUGGAAUGGAAUGGGGAUGUAAUUGGUGAAUAUUUUCUUGGAUAUCCAAAUCAAAAUUAAAAUAAAAUAAAAUUUAAAUUUGAGAGAAGAGUAAAAAUUGGAUGGUGAAAAAUUGAGAUAUUUUUUUUUAUAAAUCUAUUUUAUAUAUACACACACGCGCACGCAUGCGGAGGCAUUAGCCUCCAUGCUCUGUGCAUCGUAUUUGUGAUUGUUGACAUGCCACAUAUUAUUAAAAAAAAAUUUAAAAAUAUAUAUACGUAUGAUUAUUGAUCGCUUCAAACCUUCCGCACUUUUCGUCUCUGUAUUUCUCACUGUGGUCUUCUCAAAGUGGGAGGCAUGGAGAUCGUUAUAGUCAAAAAGAUGGUAAAACCAUCGUCGUUGUGGACGAGCCAAAAGAAGGAUUUAUGGCCGAGACCGAAGAUGAGGAGGUUGCAGGGGGCAUGGCGGCAAAGGACAACAGCGACGACAUGGAGAUCGGGGUCGGCCAUGCGGUCAAGGUGGGAGGAUGAGAUGGUGUAGAAGAGAAGUAUGUCGAAGAUGAGAUUCGGAAGGAAAGGUUGAUGGGAGAUGGCGGCGACGGUGGCAAAGGUGGGAGGAGGAGAUGGCAUAGAAAGGAGCACGUCAAAGAUAAGGUCUGAGAGGAAAAGAUGAUGAGCGGCGAUGGUGACGGCAAAGGUGGAGCUUCUCAACCAUAUUGAUGAGAAGGUCGGCCUCCACCUCAAGGAGGCUAGCGUCUCCACCGUCCAGAUCAACCUCGCAUUAGGAUGUUCUAUGAGAAGUCUUCAUCCGCCACAUGUUCCACAUAUUUCUCCGCCACAUAUCCAUAUAUUUCGAUGUUGAUGGAAGAGGAACAAUAGAACAAACUCUUUGUUUGCGCCCGAGGUUGGAGGAAGACUCUCGAUAAAAGUUCUCUUCCUACCCCAACAAAAAUUUCAAAUCAAGUUAAAAAUCAUAAACUUCUCUUAUAAACAAGGCCUCCCUUCCCUCCACCCCAUAUCUUGUUAGAAGAUACUGUUCCAACAAAAUCGUAGUCUCAAAUACCCCUACAGAUCAGAUAAUCCCUUAAGAAAACCUCUCUUCAAUUUUUUUUUUGAAUCACUUGCUGAGAUUUUUGUAAAAAUCGUGGUCCCAAACACCCCUACAGAUCAGAUAAUCCCUUAAGAAAACCUCUCUUCAUUUUUUUUUUUGAAUCACUUGCUGAGAUUUUUGUGAGUCGAUGGUCUGAUCAAAACCAACAUCACCUAUUUUCUCCAUAAAAUUUUAAUUAGUUCCAUGCCGGUGAUAUUUUGAUCCAUAUGAUUUCGUUAAAACAUAAUAAAAUCCAUGAUCUGUGAGAUCUUAUGCAAGCAAUUCUAAAAUGGGCAUGGGUAAUCCAGAUGUUGAUUUGUUAUUUUCUGUGAAUCUUUGAACUGGAUUCUGUUACCGAACAGAGAUGUUUUCAUGGCUUGAAUAGGGGGUAUUUUCACAACCCAACCAAUUAAUUAGUUUCAAUCGGUCAGUGGAUCUAAUAAUUAUAGAUAUUUUUGGAAUAAAUUUAUUAAAAAGAUGAUCUGAAUACACCACGAGAUCUAUCGCAUAUGGUUGUGUUAUAAAUUGCAGACGUUGGGUGUGAGGUUCUUUUUUUUUUUUUUUUUUUUUUUUUUUUUUUUUUGGACCUAUGAGAUUAUUGAUUUUUUUUUUCCUCAUUUUCUUUCUUUUCAUCUGUGUAUCUAGCUUUUUAAUCCAGAAGGGAUUUUAGGAACUUGAGAACAGAAUGCUGAAUCACAGCACCUCCGUUGUAAUUUUUUUCUUUGACCCCUUUCAUUCUUUCUUUUAUUUUAUUAUUAUUAUUUUUUAAUAGAUAAAUAAUAAGAUUAGAAUCUUAGUCACCUGAAUUUUUAUAAAUAAAUAAAAAAAAUAUGUACAAGAAGAACGAUAUGCAAAGAAAAUAAAUAUUUGCUACAAAAGAAAGAUUAAGGUCCCAAUCCAAAAACCACUUCUAAUGAACCAAAAAAAAAAAAUCACAUUGUAAAAUUGUAUCAGAUUUGUAUCAUUUGUUCUUUUUGAUAAAGUUGCUCAAUGACUAAUAGCCAAAACAGCUAAAAAACUACUAUAUAGAUAAGAUAUAUGCAACAUAUAUUUUAUAUUUUAUUUAUUCAAUCAAUUAAUUGAUAAUAUAAAAUUAUGUAAUUCUCUUCAUGUGGAAAGAUGAUGAUUCUAUUAUUUCUUUAUAAAUUAAAAAAUUAAUAAAAAAAUUAUAUCUUCUAAAUUAAAAUUGAUGAAUACAACCUCAAAAAAGAAGGACAAAGCUAUACUGUCCUUCAGAUAAUUUUUGAAGAUACAUGCAACGAAAUGGAAGAUAGAAAAAAUCAAAAAAAAAUAUUAUAAAUAUUUAAUUUUUUAUAUGUAGAUAAUUAUAUUUAUAUAUUUUUUCUGUUAAUUAAUAACUAAAUUUUCUUGCAGAUUGAAGUAAAUAAAAAUGAAAGUUCUAUUAUUUAUAUGACUAUAAAGAAAAGAGAUAUGUAUAGGAUACAAAUAAGUAAUCGGACUAUACUUAAUGAUAAGCAUUUCGGAAUAAUUGAAGUCGAAAAUAUUUUUUUAAAAAAUAUUUUUUAUUAAUAAAAAAUAAAAAUAAUUAUGUUAUCUUUUUAAUCUAUGAGUCAAAUUAAAUGUAUAUGAUAUUAUUUAUUUAAAAAAAAUUCAUCAUGUGCAUUGCACGGAUUCAUAAGCCAGUUGAAAUAAAAAUAAGACCUUCCUAUCAAACAGAUGGGAUAGAGUCGGUUAUUCUAAAUUUUAUUUUAGAAUCUAAUUUUUUUAUCCAAAUAUAUUCUUAUAAAUGAUGGAUCAACUGGUGUUAAAUAUACUAUUUAAAUGUCAUGAUUUUUUUUUUUAGCAUCAUGUUCACCGCUCAAUACGAUUCAGGGGAUGGAAACCGGCGUGCGUUAUCGAGCGUUUCCAGGUUCUCUCAAUGGAAGAAGGUAGAUUGUUUUCGUGGCGAGCGAGAGAUGGAUUUUGAAACGAAAAAUGUAAAUAUCGUUCAACUUGCAUUGGCCCGGUGAGAAUGCAAAAAUUAAAAUAUUUAGAAUAUGCUUCAGCCAAUAAAUGUGUGAAUCUCGCGACAAGAAGCAUAUAUUGCAUGAGAAAUUGCGCUCCAUCCAAGUCCAGCAAAAACUUAAUAUUUUUUUAUAUAUUUCAAUCAAUUUUGGAGGCAUAUACUUUGACUUGUUAAGAUCAUACGGAGAGUCCGAAAUGAUACGCUCCUUCUGAUAAAAAGGUAAUGACCUCGAUGACUACUAAUUGCUCUUUGAAAUCAAAAAGAAUUAGUUUCAUUUGCUAACAAAAAAAUUAGAAACAUAAUCAAAGCACGAGAAACAAUAUAAUCUUACUUUUUUAAUAGACCAUCAAAUGUCUGGACGAGUAUUGAGCUUCAUCGAGUCCUUGCUAGAUUUUAUAGCAGACAUUUCUACAUUUGCACAUGCAAAAAGAAAGAAGAAUUAGGAGGGGUGGUGAUUAAAGGAUGAAAUAGCUGCAGCAUGAAACACGGAGAGAGAACAUCAAAGCUGGUGGGUGGUGGUGGAUGACGUGCUGCGACAAUGGCAAUGCUUUUAUGCAAACAAAGAAAGAACUUGAGAGAGAACGGCUUAAACAUAUGGAAUCAGAGCUGAGAAAAGAGACAGGUUUAGUUUUUCGCUGAACAAAUAAUUUACUAUUUUGGAGUAAUAUAUUCUUCCAUUGUCUCAAUGAAAGCCGCUAGAUAUUUUAUUAUUUUUUUCUUAUAUUUUUAAUAAGGAGAAAAAGAGGGGCACAACACAUGUGACGCAUGGCGAAGUAGCCUUAUUUUAGUUGGCUAACAUCCUUCUCUUGAGAGCUUGCUCUGAAAAGAGGUCCAUGGUUUACACAUUUUUGAUGGCUUCUUACCAUUCUAUCACUCAGCAAAAAAGAGAGGUAGAAAAAGAACGUAUGCGAUACAUAUGGUGUUUAGAAUGGAGAUAUAAAACUAAAUGAGCAAACAUAAAUCUAAAAUUUUUUAGGUUGGAUUUGGUGCAUUACCAGAUAAUCUUAAUUCAGAUUACAUAAUAAUCUGGAUUACCUGCAAUCUGAAUAGAUUGUCCGUAAUGUUGAUUACUGUAUUUGAUAUAUGCAGAUAAUAUUACAGCAAAAUUAUUGAAAAUUUUAAUUGAUAUAUUUAGUAUGACAAUCAAAUUACUAGUAAUGUAACAUCAAAUUCUCAAAAUAUCUUUAAAUCAAUUUAUUAGUUUAGUAUUUUAAACUAUAUAUUUAAUUUUUUUAAUGAUAAAAAUUAUUAUAUAAAAAUUUAUUAUUUUUUAAUACUUAUUAUUAUUAUUAUUAUUUUUAAUUUUUUUCUUCUUUCUCCUUCCCUUGCAAGCCACACCCCGACCCCCCCUCCCCUUACCCUCGGCCGUUCGGCAUCGCCCCCCGACGGUCGUGCCUCCGACACCACCUCCCGACCAUCGCGCCUCCCACAUCGCCCCCAGCCCUGCGGCAAACCCGCACCUUGUGCCCCCCACGACCGCCUCUAUCGUUGCCCUCACCCACCCAUGCCACCGCCCUCACCCACCCCACUUGAGGCUGUGCCGAUGGAAGAAGGCAACGAGGCCUGACUCUGGGAACUAGAUCAGCUGGUACAAGAGGAUCACAAUGGUGGAGAGUGGGGGACGGACAAAGAGAGAGGUGGCGGGGGAAGGACGACAGCGAGGGCCAUAAAGGCAGCGUAGGAGGUGAUCCUGCCACCGAAAGAGGAGUGGUCGAGAACGCAAAACAGCGACAGGCGGUGCGGUUGCGAGAGGGAGUGUUAGGGGGGAGGCACAGGCGAGCAACGGGUGGUGCCACGUAGGGAGAGGGGAGGAGAGGAGGGCAGUUUCAUCCAGAAAUUUUAUUACAAAAUUAUCAAAGUAGUGAUAAUUUGAAUAACCACCUCUCGCCUUGGUAAUUCAGAUUAUCUCGCAAUCUAGAUUACCAACCCAAAAAAUAUACCAAAUAUAGUAAUUCAGAUAACUACAUUAAAUUACCAGCAAUCUAUGCAGAUUGCUAGCUACCAAAUGCAACCUUAAUUCUACGUAAUGCCCAACCUUAGUUAGAAAAACAAGCUAAUUUUUCGUUAACCAAUCAAAUUUAAUAUGUUGGAUUUAAAACUCAUUCUCAUGCUUGUCAACUUAUAAGUUGCAUGAGUUAAGCCAAUCUCACCUAUUAUUUGCACAACACGAAUAAUAAAAUAACAUCUCAUAUUAGAGUCAUGUCAUCACCGAGCAUUAUUUAUGCAGUCUAUGGAUUUUGAUUUGGCUAAGAAUACUCACAUGCUUGAACUAUGGGUUAGGUCUACAUAGAAACCUUCGUUGUUAUAUGCAAAAUAUUGUGGUCCUUGGCAUUUGCAUUUGGCAUGAAAGUAAAGAACGCCAUUUCCCAGGCCAUUUUUGAUGUUAAUUCAAUGCAUACGUAAAGGGAGCAUAUGACUGUUGUCAAACAGAUAAUUAAUCAAAAAAAAGGGUGUCGAAAUAUAAAAUAUAUUUAUAUAUAAAACAGUCAUAAAAUAUAAAAUAAGUAGUGAAAAUAUUAUUGAUUUUUCAAAAUGCUUUAUAUUUUGCACAUGGACCUUUUGAAGAUAUUUUGGUAGGGCGCAAAAUACGAAAAAAAUAACUGAGCAGCUCACGAAGAAAGUCGAAAAGGGACGCCGACUUCACCACAUAGAAUCAAAUAUUUCGGGCUUUCCAUUCUCAUCACGAUCCCCGACCUAUCCCUUCUCCUGCCUCUUUCUGUCGUCUCUGAUUUAUCUCUCCCCUUCUCUACCUGUUCUCACACCUGUUGCAUUUUUUUUUCCCCCUCUCGUCACAUUAGAAAUUUAACAGAUGCUACCCAAUUUGAUCUUGCGAGGUAUUAUCUCUAGACUCCUAAUUAAUUUUGUUAUCUACCUAUUCAAUCUCGCAACAUCUGGUUUUGUGAGUCAUUGUCUUUCCUAUUCGUAUCAAAUGCACCAUCACUAGGAGUUUUAUGGCUUCUGAUUCGAGCAAUUUGUCGAAUCCUGCUGCUGAGCAUGGAGUUCUACUUGAGGGAACCUACUUCCUAUAAAUCAGACUAAAUGUAUUUUUUUGUUCUCAUUCUUUUGAGUCCUGCUUCUUUCCCGUGAUUUUCUACAUGCUUCCUGCUCAUUUUACAAAUAAUUUGAUUGAAAAGCAAUAUAGAUUCGAGGUGACGUUACAAGUAUUCUAAAUUCGAGUUCCAUUAAGCAAGUGUAAUGUUUGUUCCUUUUAGAUUUUUUUCAAAUAUUCCAUUUUUAAUAUAUGGAUUGAUGUUAGUUUAUCAUUGUUCAGGUCCUGAUGGAUGAGGUCACUGAGGCUGUCAAGAAUAUGAAAGAAGGAUUGGGAUCCGACAGUCGUGCAAAUCCAAGAAUUUGCAUCAAGGCCAUUGAAAGCUGUGGAAAGUCUAGAAGAGGGACAGAGGAAGCAAAUGCUCUUCCAAGACUGAACGGUGCUGCACGGGAUGGACUGGCAUUACUUAGAUCGAUGCAGUUUAGGCUGGAUUUUCUCGCCCAGCAACCGCCAAUUGGAGAAUCGCAAUCUGCACCGUCCACUUUAGAAUCAUGGAAGGAACAGUACCAGAAGUAAAUCUAUGGGAAUGUUCUUCCUGCUCCUGUAACAAUUAAUAGACUUUCUUGUUGCCUUGCUAAAUCUUUUAUUUUCUUAUUUGGUUUUUCCCAGUCGAACUAGUACCUUUUAUGAACUUGUUAAUAUUUUUCAGUUUCAGAUUUUAGCCUUCUAACAAUUAUUUAUCCUGUUUCAUGUUUUUAGUUUGCAUACGAGGUCGAGAAACGCUAAUUUGCAAGCAAAAAGCAACCUUAGGAAGGCUGCUCAGGAGGGAGUGAGGCUUCUUCUUAAACUCGUGAACUGUGAACUCGUUAUCUAUACUUAUCCUACAGUUCAAUUAAUGGUUUUUUAAGAAACCUUCAUUUAUCAUCUUGUUUUCUGUUUAUUAUUCUUUUAUAUUCUUCGUUGAGUUAUUCAUUCCCCCUUUGAUCAACUAUUUUUUAAACAUUAGAACUUUAACAUAUUAGCUUAUCAUACCUUGUAUCAAAGUUCAUUGUAUCAGUCAAUACCGUACCAUAUUGGAACAUACCGUACAGUAUCAAUAUGGAACCGGUAUGCAGUCCCAUACCGUUCCAAUAUACAGUAAACCUGACCAUCUUGAACCGUACCAUGAAUUGGCACUAUAAUAGUAUGGUAUAAAUAUGGGAUCUGAUACUGAGAUAGUGAACCGGCCUUAUAUUAUUUAGAGUUUCAUUCUACAAUGUGAAUCCUCCUACGAGUUUGCCUGUAUGUUUCAGCAAAUCUACCAAGUUUGUGCAUAAGCUUUAGCAACAAUAAAUUAUCCUCAUAAACUUUCUUUUUUUUCCCUUUAUUUCUGUCUGUCUGUCUAUCUGUCUGUCUGUCUAUCUUGCUUUUUCCCUCUGCUCCACUGCUUAUAUUGGAAUCUAAAUUUGCAGAGAGAGCUUCUUUUAGGAGGUACAGAAGUGUCUACAAUCUGCAGGCAUAAUUUACAGUAUGUUUUCUGAAUCACAAUCAACUUCUGAGAAUUAUUUAUUCAUGCACCAUGCUUUCUUAAAAUGAUCAUCUAUUUUGUCUAAACUUAUAGGAUGAUGUAAAUUAAAUUCAUAUACAUUCUCUUUUUCUAUAUUUUUGGUAAAGAAGAGUUGUUGUAUGAUUAUGCUUCUUGUGUUUGGUCGCGUUUUGUUGCUAAGACAAAAAGGGUAUAAACAGUAGAAAGCCCAAAAGAAAAAAGGUUAAUGCAAGGUUGGUUAAUAGUUAUAAAAUUUUAUCCAAUCCUUCUAUGGAGCAGCCUGAUGAGCCAAAUUUCAUUUAGAUGCAACAAAGCUUUGAUUGUUGUUGUUGUUGUUGUUGUUGUUUGAUCAUUCUGUUGUGUUAUUGUUUAAAGAGGUGAAUGUAAUAGAACUUUAUUUGAUAAUCAAUACUUAGAGAAUGUGGAAAAAAUUUUUGGACAUCGAAACACCUAUUCCUUUUCACGUAAAAAGAUUGACUAAUAUGUGUUGGCAUUUCUAAUCCAUCCCCAGUCCAGAGGUUCUUGAGUUGAGGGCUGGCCUCGUGGUACUCUGCAUGAUGUUGACAAACACCGGACCCGGACUCAGCUGGAACCCAAGGAUCUUUUAUAUUUUCAAUAAUUAUAGGAACAGAGAUCGAGACACUUUCUGGACUUGGCUUACCUUCAUAGGGUGAAAUCCAUUACGGUUGUUUUUGAAUCAAUUUCUUCCACUUAUUCUACUGAGAGGCAUGCUAUGGUGGUUUAGUUUUCUGAUUUUAUAUGACAAAAGCUGGGAUGACAUCUGCUGCAGGAAGCAUAACUGAGAGGCUUCACCGCACUCAUCGACUGAUGGUUCAGGUGAUUACUCGAGUAAUUUUGUCAGAACUUAAUUUAUUGUCACCUUACAGAAAGAUCCAUUUUUAGAACUAUAUUAUCCAUGAUUUUCUACAGGAUGUGGAAAGAAGUGCAAACACAUUGGCUACUUUCGGUAUAAUCUCUUAUAGCUUUGCUGUUUGUUAAUAAUAUGAUGGUAAUUAUGCUCAGUAAUUAUGAUUUACCAAGACAAUGUUGUUUGUCACUCUUUUAAGCUUAGUUCUUAACUUCGGUUCCAGUGAUAUUUUAUGCUUUCUACAAUAAUGGCCUUCUUAAGUGGCAGAAAGAGAAAAUGAACUAUCAUACGAUUUUAUUGUGGAUCUCAAAUACUUUGCUGCCUUUUUUUCAUAGAUAGACUGAAUUACAGGACUCGUGUAAGCUUCUCUUUCAGUGUUGCUGAGAGAAUAGAUUUUUAUUACUUACUAUUUUCAAAAAAUUGUAAUACUGCCAUGAUAUCUAGUCAUCUACACUUUCGAUUGCUCGCGUUUUGUAAUGUUCACUGAGUUUUGUUGAAUCAUCAUCUAUAUAGGAGGGAGGAAGGGAGUGUAAAGAGAAAGAUUCAGUUUUCUUUCUGCAUGAAAACCGAAUUGCCCUAGCAGAGUUUUACCUUAGAAGUGUCCCAAAACAAGCUCAAGUUACCUACAUAGAAGUUCUUAUUGGAGAAGUCAUUUAAACCUUUUCCCAAAAAGCAAUCAGAAGGAAAGGAAAGAGCAAAAAACUAGUCCCAGUAGGAGUCACGACUUAUGAUUGGGAGUAUGACUUGAGCUUAUGGUCCUUCACUACAUAAAUAUAAUCUUCUAUGCUUGUGAGCUUUAGGGCACGAUUCUCCUCCUUGGUCAGAAUUUUUUAAAGUCUUUUUUAAAAUCUGGUAGAGGAAUCAACAAGUGUCUUAAAGAAAGCUGAAGGUGAGUACAAAGGACACCACUCUUUGCUGAUGCACGCUCGUCGCUUGCUCUCCACAGUGCAACGUCAAGGUGUUAUUCAUAGGUAAGCAUCUAUUUUUAUAAUUGCAUAGCUAUGGGGGAAGCUAUUAUCAUAUCGUCUUUAAGAAAAAUCCUUUUUUUGUGCUGUUCCAUUUGCAUAUAAGCCAAAACACUGACCACUGGUUGGAUAGAGCAAUCACAAUGUUGCACCCUGACAAUCCGAAUCCUAUUAUUGGUUCAUUGACACAUACGUUUGUUUCUACUAGUCAAACUUUUCUGUCUGAACAAAGCUAAGCAAGAUUAUCAACCGAAUAGACUGAGCUUUUUAAUCCAAUCCUAAAUUUCUCUUAGAUGGUGCUUUUAGCAAGACUGCUGGAGAUAAAGAGAUGAUGGUUCCCCUGGUCCAAACUCCAAUUAACAUGCUUUUUUCAUUCUUAACUCUAUCAAACAGGGUGAUAUUCGUGACUGGGUUUUUCAUAUUUUUAUCAACGGUGCUGUAUAUUGUCUCCAAACCUGUCGGGCUGCUGAAGUUGCAGAGAAACCUGUUUGCAGGC